rnacentral:lncRNA from 1 species
UAACAACUAAAAUUUCGUUUCUGAAAAUAACAAUCAAGACAAGAAAUAUAGCUAAAAAAAAGUAUUUGUAUUUCAAUAAUUUUCGCCAGUUACAAUCUUUGAACAAUCUUAAGUUUAACAGAUGUAAUCCUCUUAUUCUUGUCCUCACGACCGUCAAUUCGAGAGCUUCGCUUGUUCUUGAAUUGAUGGACCACUUGUUAUUGGGAUUUGACCACGAAUGCGGAGUUAGGCUUUGAUAAAAAAUGUGGAGGACGGAAAACAUGCAGCUCACCCCUCUGGGACGACGACAUCUUGCUAUGCGGAAGACUUGCGAAUUACUAGUGUGGAGGAGAGCUUCAAUGUGUAUCUUUUUUCUUGUCCCUUUGGUCUUAUGGAGACCCCUAU